CCAGGGUCUCACUCCUCUGUCUUGGUUCCUUUUUCAGUCUGUCCAUCCGGAGCCGAAGAGAAAAGCAAGAAAUCAGAGUGAGACGUGCCCAGGGAAGCUGAGAUUUUGGGGGCUGAUCUGUGACCCCCAUAAUAAGAUUGUGAACCUCAGGACAGGAACCAGAGUUGGGGGGCUUAAUGGUCAAUAAAGGGUUAACUUCCUCUCCGGUCCCCCUUCUAUGCUGCCAGAAUCAUGCCUCAACCCACCCCCUCCCACCUCCCCACCCCCUCUUGGCCUGCUCUGCCCACAGCACCCACUUCUCCUGCUGCUGGGGUUCCUCAGCCUGAGCCUCCACCCCCACCCAUGCCCCCCCCUGCUGCCUGCCUCCCCCUGGGCGGUCAGGCAAAUGGCCUGUUCUGUUUAAGAUUGGGGGGCUGUUGGUCUGCACUGCUAUAUGGGGACUUUGGCCCCAGAAAUAAAAAUGUUUUGCUGUGACCAC